rnacentral:misc_RNA from 1 species
AAGUCGUAACAAGGUCUCCGUAGGUGAACCUGCGGAGGGAUCAUUACUGAGUGAGGGCCCCCCGGCCCGACCUCCAACCCUUUGUAAUCCGACUCUGUUGCCUCGGGGGCGACCCUGCCUUCGGGCGUUGGGGCCCCCGGUGGACCACUCAACUCUGCAUCUAUGCGUCUGAGUACCAAUUAAAUUAAAUCAAAACUUUCAACAACGGAUCUCUUGGUUCUG